rnacentral:tRNA from 1 species
GAGGGUAGAGCUCAGUGGUAGAGCGCAUGCUUAGUGUGCAAGAGGUCCUGGGUUCAAUCCCCAGCACCUCCA